rnacentral:tRNA from 1 species
GGGAGCUUAGUUUAAUGGCAAAACACCAUACCGAGAUUGGAAGUUCGACUCUUCUAGCUUCCC